rnacentral:rRNA from 1 species
GGGUUGUGAGGUUAAGCGAAUAAGCGUACACGGUGGAUGCCUAGGCAGUCAGAGGCGAUGAAGGACGUGCUAAUCUGCGAUAAGCGCCGGUAAGGUGAUAUGAACCGUUAUAACCGGCGAUUUCCGAAUGGGGAAACCCAGUGUGAUCCGUCACACUAUCAUUACCUGAAUACAUAGGGUAAUGAAGCGAACCGGGAGAACUGAAACAUCUAAGUACCCCGAGGAAAAGAAAUCAAACGAGAUUCCCCCAGUAGCGGCGAGCGAACGGGGAGCAGCCCAGGACCUUAAUCAGCAUCAGUGUUAAGAGAACAGUCUGGAAAGGCUGGCCACAGCAGGUGAUAGCCCUGUAUCUGAAAGCACUGGUGUUGUGAGUCCGAUGAGUAAGGCGGGACACGUGUUAUCCUGUCUGAAUACGGGGGGACCAUCCUCCAAGGCUAAAUACUCCUGACUGACCGAUAGUGAACCAGUACCGUGAGGGAAAGGCGAAAAGAACCCCGGCGAGGGGAGUGAAAAAGAACCUGAAACCGUGUACGUACAAGCAGUGGGAGCACCUUUAUGGUGUGACUGCGUACCUUUUGUAUAAUGGGUCAGCGACUUAUAUUCUGUAGCAAGGUUAACCGAAUAGGGGAGCCGCAGGGAAACCGAGUCUUAACUGGGCGAAUUAGUUGCAGGGUAUAGACCCGAAACCCGGUGAUCUAGCCAUGGGCAGGUUGAAGGUUGGGUAACACUAACUGGAGGACCGAACCGACUAAUGUUGAAAAAUUAGCGGAUGACUUGUGGCUGGGGGUGAAAGGCCAAUCAAACCGGGAGAUAGCUGGUUCUCCCCGAAAGCUAUUUAGGUAGCGCCUCGUGAAUUCAUCUCCGGGGGUAGAGCACUGUUUCGGCUAGGGGGUCAUCCCGACUUACCAACCCGAUGCAAACUGCGAAUACCGGAGAAUGUUAUCACGGGAGACACACGGCGGGUGCUAACGUUCGUCGUGAAGAGGGAAACAACCCAGACCGCCGGCUAAGGUCCCAAAGUCAUAAUUAAGUGGGAAACGAAGUGGGAAGGCUCAGACAGCCAGGAUGUUGGCUUAGAAGCAGCCAUCAUUUAAAGAAAGCGUAAUAGCUCACUGGUCGAGUCGGCCUGCGCGGAAGAUGUAACGGGGCUAAAUUAUGCACCGAAGCCGCGGCAGCGAUAUGUAAAUAUUGUUGGGUAGGGGAGCGUUCUGUAAGCCUGUGAAGGUGUGCUGUGAGGCAUGCUGGAGGUAUCAGAAGUGCGAAUGCUGACAUAAGUAACGAUAAUGCGGGUGAAAAACCCGCACGCCGGAAGACCAAGGGUUCCUGUCCAACGUUAAUCGGGGCAGGGUGAGUCGACCCCUAAGGCGAGGCUGAAAAGCGUAGUCGAUGGGCAACGGGUUAAUAUUCCCGUACUGGUGGUAACUGCGAAGGGGGGACGGAGAAAGCUAAAUCAUCCGGGCGACGGUUGUCCCGGUUUAAGCGUGCAGGUGGACUGACCAGGCAAAUCCGGUCGGUUGUUAACACUGAGGCGUGACGACGAGCCACUACGGUGGUGAAGUGAUUGAUGCUCUGCUUCCGGGAAAAGCCUCUAAGCUCCAGGUUACCAUUAAUCGUACCCCAAACCGACACAGGUGGUCAGGUAGAGAAUACUCAGGCGCUUGAGAGAACUCGGGUGAAGGAACUAGGCAAAAUGGUGCCGUAACUUCGGGAGAAGGCACGCUGGCAUUAGGUGAAGUGGUUUACCCACGGAGCUGAAGCCAGCCGCAGAUACCAGCUGGCUGCAACUGUUUAUUAAAAACACAGCACUGUGCAAACACGAAAGUGGACGUAUACGGUGUGACGCCUGCCCGGUGCCGGAAGGUUAAUUGAUGAGGUCAGCCGCAAGGCGAAGCUUCUGAUCGAAGCCCCGGUAAACGGCGGCCGUAACUAUAACGGUCCUAAGGUAGCGAAAUUCCUUGUCGGGUAAGUUCCGACCUGCACGAAUGGCGUAAUGAUGGCCAGGCUGUCUCCACCCGAGACUCAGUGAAAUUGAACUCGCUGUGAAGAUGCAGUGUACCCGCGGCAAGACGGAAAGACCCCGUGAACCUUUACUAUAGCUUGACACUGAACAUUGAGCCUUGAUGUGUAGGAUAGGUGGGAGGCAACGAAG